GAUGAACGCUAGCGACAGGCUUAACACAUGCAAGUCGAGGGGUAGCAGGGUAGCAAUACCGCUGACGACCGGCGCACGGGUGAGUAACGCGUAUCUAAUCUACCUGUAACUCGGGGAUAGCCUUUUGAAAGAAAGAUUAAUACCCGGUAAUACUGAGAGUCAGCAUUAAUUUUCAGUUAAAGAUUUAUCGGUUACAGAUGAGGAUGCGUCCCAUUAGAUAGUUGGUAGGGUAACGGCCUACCAAGUCAGCGAUGGGUAGGGGUUCUGAGAGGAAGGUCCCCCACAUUGGAACUGAGACACGGUCCAAACUCCUACGGGAGGCAGCAGUGAGGAAUAUUGGUCAAUGGGCGAGAGCCUGAACCAGCCAAGUCGCGUGAAGGAUGACUGCCCUAUGGGUUGUAAACUUCUUUUUUAGGGGAAUAAAGUGAG
rnacentral:rRNA from 1 species